GACAGAGGGUGCAAACGUUGUUCGGAAUUACUGGGCGUAAAGCGAGUGUAGGCGGUCUCAUAAGUCGGAUGUGAAAGCCCUUGGCUCAACUGAGGAAGUGCAUCCGAAACUGGCAGGCUAGAGUACUAAAGAGGGUCGCGGAAUUCCCGGUGUAGAGGUGAAAUUCGUAGAUAUCGGGAGGAACACCGGUGGCGAAGGCGGCGACCUGGGUAGAUACUGACGCUGAGGUGCGAAAGCGUGGGGAGCAAACAGG
rnacentral:rRNA from 1 species